AUUUUGGAUCCUUUUCGCACAUCAGGCGAGCACGAAUCUCAGGGCGACGCACCCCAUAUGGGGGGCUUAAACAUAUGUAGUAUGUCAGACAAAACUUUUGAAUUGCAUCGACAGAUUGAGAACGUGGAAGCAACAGGCAGAUAGCAAAAGAGAAAAACACUGGAGAGAGAGAGGAGGCAGACAUGGCACAAGGAUGGAUGGGGGGUCUAAGCCGGUACUGGGCGUGCUAUCGUGUCUCUUACGCAGCAAUCUUGUCGUAGUCCACCAUCAAAUACACCUUCAUUAGAACCUCCGCGGUGGCCGCUCCUCCGCGACGUUCACCCGCAGAGCACGCCCCUCCAAGCUCUGCAGAAUUCAGAUAGUAAUGUGAGACUCGACACGGCAUUCGUUAUCCCGCUAGAACGAGGUUCGAUUCAUGCAGUUAUCACGGUAUGUAAAAAUGGUAGGGCAAUCAGAUGAUUGCUAACUAACCUGUCCAUCGAGGGCAGCGAUGGCAUCAUCAAGUUCCGGCUGCGAUGCCAUUGUCACGAAACCAAAUCCCCGUGAGCGCCCAGUGUCUCUGUCGUAGAC
rnacentral:lncRNA from 1 species